CCCUUAGAUGUUCUGGGCCGCACGCGCGCUACAAUGAUGAAUUCAACGAGUUUAUAACCUUGGUUGAAAAGCCUGGGUAAUCUUUUGAACUUUCGUCGUGAUGGGGCUAGACCCUUGCAAUUAUUGGUCUCCAACGAGGAAUUCCUAGUAAACGCAAGUCAUCAGCUUGCAUUGAUUACGUCCCUGCCCUUUGUACACACCGCCCGUCGCUACUACCGAUUGGAUGGUUUAGUGAGACCCUCGGAUCGGUCCCGACUCGGGGUGGGCUUCUGCCCCGGUCGUGGUUUCGCCGAGAAGACGGUCAAACUUGACUAUCUAGAGGAAGUAAAAGUCGUAACA
rnacentral:rRNA from 1 species